UUUGUAAUAUUGGGAUGAAUUUCGUGUAUAUGCCGAAUUACGCACAGUUUCGAAGUUGUCACGACAUCUAUCCUCAAAGUUGCCCAGGAAGGAAGAGCGAAUAUCGCACGUUUGCCGAGGUACAUAGAAGAAAUCUGCUGUGUUAGGGGUGAACAAUUUUGCACUAUUUAUUUAGGUCACAUUGGCUUCGAAACCACACGUUCUGCAUGAUAACCUACACCGUGAAGAAGCACGUAGAAUAUGCAUUUAUUAAAUGUGCUCUGGUACGUAAAACAGGGCCGCAUACAUCGUUUUUCUGAAGCCUGUCAAUUUCUCAAAUUUUCUGGUCACUGACAUAUUAAAAGUUCUGCACAAAGUAAAAUUCCAUUUUUUUCUGUGUUAUACCAUGGUGUACACGGACAACGCGUCGUGCAGUGGUGGUGGUUUGUCUGCCGAGGAUUGCCUCCCGCACUGCUUGCUGUCGUGCCAACUGAGUGUGGUGCGUUUUGCCCGUUGGCCGUGAGGUGGUGCACCGUCGUCGUUUUCCAUCGGUGACGACAGAGUGAGGUCGUUCGAACGUGUUAGACGCACGUUCGCGUUGUGUUAUUGCGCGUGCUGUGGCGGCGGGAGGUGACGUGGUGGUUGACGCUACUACCCCACGAUUCCGGCGUAAUACUCCGUGCUCGGUGAAUUCUCAGUCGGUCGUGGUUCCGACGGGUGUGCCGUGCCCUUUUGUGUCGAGUGCGUGACAAGCUUACGGCGACUACGGCGUGACGUAUUAAUACCACAACAGAGGAACGUGAAGAUUCUUGCUUCGCUUGGCGUGGGAUUUUCGAUUCGCUGCGCGACAUCGCCGUUCCUACCUGCCACGCCCCGCCGGAGGUGGUAUUUUAUUUUCUCCCUGUGUUGAGCGUUUGGUUGCUCGACCGAGAGGAUUCCUGACAUGGCACGCGACGGCAGCUUCUGCGGGCUUCCGGCUUUGGCGGGGACGGUGAUCGUCCUCGGCUGUCUUGUCAGUGCCGGGAGCCCAGGAAGCCCAGGAGGCCCAGGAGGCCCAGGAGCUGCCGGGGGCCCAGGACUCGCCGGGGGUGGAGGAGGCGCAGGCGGCGCCGCAGGCGGCGGGGGUGCCGGAGGCGCCGGGGCCACAGGAGGCCCAGGAGGCCCAGGAGGCGCCGGAGGCCCAGCAAGCGCCGGAGGCCCAGGAGGCGACGGAGGUUCAGGAGGUGAUGGAGGCCAAGGAGGCGCCGGAGCGAAGGGAGGCGCCGCAGGCCCAGGAGGCGCCGGUGGCCCAGGACGCCCCCCUGGACGCCCAGGACAUGCCGGACGCCCAGGAGGCCCCUGAGGGGAGGAAACCUUUAGCUGCGAGACCAAAUGCCUAUCAUGCGACUGGGUGCAAGGGGAACUGGCGACUCAAUCUCUUACGCGAAAUGAGGAAAGCAGGAAGGUAGCGCUGGAAAGACGGGGAGCAGCUUCUACUCUGCCGCAACUGCGUACUUGUACUUUGCUCGGCUGCGGGCAGUCGCGCGCACGGUAUCUUGAAAGUGAUUUUCACAUGGCUCUAAACUUUGUAAGCGCUCUGCUUUCAUCGCUCAGUUUCCGUUGAAGCAACAGACAGAAUGAACCUUCGCUCGCUGCAGCCGCCCUUGCUCAAGCCAGCGUUCUGACAGUGGUCUGCGGUUAUCGAGUGUGAUCUAUUCAUGUUCGCUUGUGCGCGCUGACACCAUGCUUGUUCAUUCAGUUAGUAAACGAAUGUGUCCAAGUUUAUGCACCCAGUAAAACUACUAUCCUUACUCCGUAUAGCUCUCUACUAAUUUGCUAUCGUAAUUGCUGCUUCGCCUUAUUGGCUAAACUGCAACUUUUCCAUGCAUCCGGUGAUUUUGCGUUACUUUUGCGGUUUUUUCUUCUUCUUGUUUUUUGUUGGACGCAACGAAAACACACGCUUCGCGCAACUUUCGCGGUUUUCUUCUUUUCUUGAUGAACUUAAUGAAAAGUCACCCCUCGCGUUACAAUCGCGGUCGCAUUACAAUGGAGUAUAUGCGGUUUGUACCUCCCAGUGUACUCCUGGCCAAAAUAUUUUUUGGUUAGUGCCGCCAUUAUAUGCCUUCCAUUUCUGUGUCCGUUACCAUGACCCUGCUCCAUUAGAACUCUUCUAUGUUGUAUCGGCAGCAUCAAUUGCAUCGUGUGUUUCCCCUCACUCCAAAGUUUUCUACAUACCAGGUCCUUUUUCAGCUCACAUGUUACACCUUCUCUCAUCACGUACCUGAGUGUUCUGUUCUCUCACUGCUGCCUUCCCAGCUCUUCCACGGGUACAUCAAGUUGCCUUACUACUAUAUGCGUAUUCACCUCUUGUUCUUUAUGCCUCUUGCAGUCAAAUAUGUUUUUGUCCGUUUCGCACAGCUCUAUCCACCUCUCAAAAGAGUUUAUCAAACGCAUGCGAACUGCUUUCCCAUAUCAGAAUCUUCUGGCUUGCACAGUCUGAACUUUCCCGAAAACCUUCUGCGGUCAACUUGAACCUCUGCAAUAAAGUUUUUUUUUGUACUUU